rnacentral:rRNA from 1 species
GACAGAGGGGGCAAGCGUUGCUCGGAAUUACUGGGCGUAAAGGGCGCGUAGGCGGGAUGGCAAGUCGGUCGUGAAAUCCCUCGGCUCAACUGAGGAGCGUCGAUCGAAACUGCCGGUCUUGAGGGUUGCAGAGGAGACUGGAAUUCCCGGUGUAGCGGUGAAAUGUGUAGAGAUCGGGAGGAACACCGGUGGCGAAGGCGGGUCUCUGGGCAGCUCCUGACGCUGAGGCGCGAAAGCGUGGGGAGCAAACGGG